GCCGAGCUUAGUUGCGAGAGCUUGUAACCCGAGUGGGGGCAUUAAGGUGAUGUGGACGUUGUUGUAGCGCUGCGGGCCUGGCCUGGGUGUGCUACUGCUAGCCCGCCCAUUCCAAGUUGCGUAGUGGACCGGCUGGGGGGCCUAUGCGAAAGCUGGGCCUCAUGGUCCAUAAUGUGGGAAAGCGUGAGGCUGGCUUCACAGAGCAGCGACAACUGCCCGCUUCCAACGAUGGAAGGAUAAGCCUACUCCAGCGAACCAUCACUUUUUUUUGCUGCACUUCAGAGGUUGAUUUGCUUACUCUUU
rnacentral:SRP_RNA from 1 species